rnacentral:rRNA from 1 species
UCCAGACUCCUACGGGAGGCAGCAGUGAGGAAUAUUGGUCAAUGGGCGAGAGCCUGAACCAGCCAAGUCGCGUGAAGGAUGACGGCCCUACGGGUUGUAUACUUCUUUUGUCAGGGAGCAAUUGGGUCCACGCGUGGGCUUAGCGAGAGUACCUGAAGAAAAAGCAUCGGCUAACUCCGUGCCAGCAGCCGCGGUAAUACGGAGGAUGCGAGCGUUAUCCGGAUUUAUUGGGUUUAAAGGGUGCGUAGGCGGAAUAUCAAGUCAGCGGUAAAAAGGCGGUGCUCAACGCCGUCGAGCCGUUGAAACUGACGGUCUUGAGUGGGCGAGAAGUAUGCGGAAUGCGUGGUGUAGCGGUGAAAUGCAUAGAUAUCACGCAGAACUCCGAUUGCGAAGGCAGUAUACCGGCGCCCAACUGACGCUGAAGCACGAAAGCGUGGGUAUCGAACAGGAUUAGAUACCCCGGUACUA